GCCAGAGCCAUUUCACCCUGCAGCUCUUGCCUGGUGUCCCAUUGAAGCUAAGCAGGGUUGAGCCUGGCCAGUACCUGGAUGGGUGACCUCCUGGGGAAAACUAAGGUUGCUGCUGGAA
rnacentral:rRNA from 1 species